rfam:Branchiostoma floridae genomic scaffold BRAFLscaffold_258, whole genome shotgun sequence.
UCACAUGCAGUGCCGGGAUAACUAAAACUCUGAGUUCUGUUUACUUCAGAGUUUUGGUACCCCGGCUCCAUAUGGA